GUCAGAUGGUCGCGGAAUAUUAAUUCUGAGGAAAGUCCGAGCUCCACAGGGCAAGGAUGCCGGGUAACGCCCGGUGAAGGUGACUUCAAGGCAAGUGCAACAGAAAGUAUACCGCCCUACUAUUUUAUUUUAGGGUAAGGCUGAAAGGGUGAGGUAAGAGCUCACCAGCGGCGUGAGUAAUCCGUCGGCUAUGUAAACCCCAUCCGGAGCAAGAUCAAGAACUAGCAUUUAAUAAUGGCUGCUCGUCAUUGCUAAAAAUGGUAGAUCGCUGGAAUUUAUCGGUGACGAUAAAACAAGAUAGAUGACCAUCAAGACAGAACUCGGCUUAUAGACUUAG
rnacentral:RNase_P_RNA from 1 species